UACGGGGGGAGCAAGCGUUGUUCGGAUUUACUGGGCGUAAAGGGCGCGUAGGCGGCGCAACAAGUCACUUGUGAAAUCUCCGGGCUUAACCCGGAGCGGCCAAGUGAUACUGUCGUGCUAGAGUGCGGAAGGGGCUACUGGAAUUCUCGGUGUAGCGGUGAAAUGCGUAGAUAUGCGGAGGAACACCAAUGGCGAAGGCAAUCUCCUGGACCUGCACUGACGCUCAUGCACGAAAGCGUGGGGAGCAAACAGG
rnacentral:rRNA from 1 species